rnacentral:rRNA from 1 species
GACGAACGCUGGCGGCGUGCUUAACACAUGCAAGUCGAACGGAAAGGCCUGCUUUCCCUUGUGGAUUGCGGGUACUCGAGUGGCGAACGGGUGAGUAACACGUGAGUGAUCUGCCCCCAACUUGGGUAUAAGCCUGGGAAACUGGGUCUAAUUCCCGAUAGGACUGCAGGGUGGUGCCUGUGGUGGAAAACGAUUUUCUAGUGGUUGGGGAUGAGCUCGCGGCCUAUCAGCUUGUUGGUGGGGUAAUGGCCUACCAAGGCGGCGACGGGUAGCCGGCCUGGGAGGGUGGACGGGCACAUUGGGACUGAGAUACGGCCCAGACACCUACGGGAGGCAGCAGUGGGGAAUAGUGGACGAUGGGCGGAAGACUGAAGCAGCGACGCAGCGUGGGGGAUGACGGGCUUCGGGUUGUAAGCUCCUUUCGACCGCGAGGAAGCCACCUGGUUGGAAGGGUGGUGACGGUAGUGGUAGAAGAAGCACCGGCUAACUACGUG